GCUGGCAAAUUAGUGUAAGCUUCAGGAAGCUAGUGGAGGACUCCAAAGGGAUCGCAUUGAUCUCAUCAGCUGCAUCCAAGCAUGAAUCAACGGAUGGAUGGAUCGAUGCAUAUGCAAGAUCAGUGCAAUCCCUUUGGAAUUCUCGACUCGCCUCUGCCUCGGUCGGUCACGCGC